CCUACGGGGAGCAGCAGUGAGGAAUAUUGGUCAAUGGACGAGAGUCUGAACCAGCCAAGUAGCGUGAAGGAUGACUGCCCUACGGGUUGUAAACUUCUUUUAUAAAGGAAUAAAAUGUGGCACGUGUGCCUUUUUGUAUGUACUUUAUGAAUAAGGAUCGGCUAACUCCGUGCCAGCAGCCGCGGUAAUACGGAGGAUCCGAGCGUUAUCCGGCUUUAUUGGGUUUAAAGGGAGCGUAGAUGGGUUGUUAAGUCAGUUGUGAAAGUUUGCGGCUCAACCGUAAAAUUGCAAUUGAUACUGGCAGCCGUGAGUACAGUUGAGGUAGGCGGAAUUCGUGGUGUAGCGGUGAAAUGCUUAGAUAUCACGAAGAACUCCGAUUGCGAAGGCAGCCCACUAAACUGCCACUGACAUUGAUGCUCGAAAGUGUGGGUAUCAAACAGGAUUAGAUACCCCAGUAGUC
rnacentral:rRNA from 1 species